rnacentral:rRNA from 1 species
GAUGAACGCUAGCGGCAGGCCUAAUACAUGCAAGUCGAACGGGUGUUCUUCAGAACACUAGUGGCGCACGGGUGCGUAACGCGUAACCAAUCUGCCCUGAACUGGGGGAUAGCCCGCCGAAAGGCGGAUUAAUACCGCAUAAACCAACAGGCUGGCAUCAGCUAAUUGGUAAAGAUUUAUUGGUUCAGGAUGAGGUUGCGUGCCAUUAGCUAGUUGGCGGGGUAACGGCCCACCAAGGCGACGAUGGCUAGGGGACCUGAGAGGGUGAUCCCCCACACUGGCACUGAGAUACGGGCCAG